GCGGGACACGUGGUAUCCUGUCUGAAUAUGGGGGGACCAUCCUCCAAGGCUAAAUACUCCUGACUGACCGAUAGUGAACCAGUACCGUGAGGGAAAGGCGAAAAGAACCCCGGCGAGGGGAGUGAAAAAGAACCUGAAACCGUGUACGUACAAGCAGUGGGAGCCUCUUUUAUGGGGUGACUGCGUACCUUUUGUAUAAUGGGUCAGCGACUUAUAUUCUGUAGCAAGGUUAACCGAAUAGGGGAGCCGAAGGGAAACCGAGUCUUAACCGGGCGUUAAGUUGCAGGGUAUAGACCCGAAACCCGGUGAUCUAGCCAUGGGCAGGUUGAAGGUUGGGUAACACUAACUGGAGGACCGAACCGACUAAUGUUGAAAAAUUAGCGGAUGACUUGUGGCUGGGGGUGAAAGGCCAAUCAAACCGGGAGAUAGCUGGUUCUCCCCGAAAGCUAUUUAGGUAGCGCCUCGUGAAUUCAUCUCCGGGGGUAGAGCACUGUUUCGGCAAGGGGGUCAUCCCGACUUACCAACCCGAUGCAAACUGCGAAUACCGGAGAAUGUUAUCACGGGAGACACACGGCGGGUGCUAACGUCCGUCGUGAAGAGGGAAACAACCCAGACCGCCAGCUAAGGUCCCAAAGUCAUGGUUAAGUGGGAAACGAUGUGGGAAGGCCCAGACAGCCAGGAUGUUGGCUUAGAAGCAGCCAUCAUUUAAAGAAAGCGUAAUAGCUCACUGGUCGAGUCGGCCUGCGCGGAAGAUGUAACGGGGCUAAACCAUGCACCGAAGCUGCGGCAGCGACACUGUGUGUUGUUGGGUAGGGGAGCGU
rnacentral:rRNA from 1 species